rnacentral:rRNA from 1 species
GAACGAGAAAGUGGAGCAAUCCAUGAGUAAAGUGGCGACCGGGUGAGUAACACGUGACUAACCUACCCUCGAGUGGGGAAUAACCUAGGGAAACCUGGGCUAAUACCGCAUAACGUCUUCGGACCAAAGGAGCAAUUCGCUGGAGGAGGGGGUCGCGGCCGAUUAGUUAGUUGGCGGGGUAACGGCCCACCAAGACCAUGAUCGGUAGCCGGCCUGAGAGGGCGCACGGCCACACUGGAACUGAAACACGGUCCAGACUCCUACGGGAGGCAGCAGUGGGGAAUUUUGCGCAAUGGGGGAAACCCUGACGCAGCAACGCCGCGUGGAGGAUGAAGCCCUUUGGGGCGUAAACUCCUUUCGAUCGGGACGAUGAUGACGGUACCGGAUGAAGAAGCACCGGCUAACUCUGUG